rnacentral:rRNA from 1 species
UCGGGAAUAUUGGGCAAUGGAGGAAACUCUGACCCAGCAAUACCGCGUGAAGGAUGAAGGUCUUCGGAUUGUAAACUUCUGUUAUAAAGGAAGAAUAAAAUGACGGUACUUUAUAAGUAAGCCCCGGCAAACUAUGUGCCAGCAGCCGCGGUGAUACAUAGGGGGCAAGCGUUGUCCGGAAUGACUGGGUGUAAAGGGUGUGUAGGUGGCUUAUUAAGUUAAAAGUGAAAGCCCGGGGCUCAACUCCGGAACUGCUUUUAAUACUGGUUGGCUUGAGUGUGGGAGAGGUUAGUGGAACUCCUAGUGUAGCGGUGGAAUGCGUAGAUAUUAGGAAGAACAUCAGAGGCGAAGGCGACUAACUGGAACAUUACUGACACUGAAACACGAAAGGGUGGGUAGCAAACAGG